CCUCCUCCUCGCCUAGCCACAGUGAUGCCUGCCAUGGCUAUGGGGACGAACCUGCAGGGCAGCCCCGAAAAGCCGCUGUAAACUGUCUGCCACCCUGCACCCGGGAGAGGGCCUUGUAUUCUUCAGUGAGAACCCUUAAGAGAGGCAGAGCAAGGAGCAGCUGUUCCUUUAGAGUCUUUAUGGAACCCGUGUUCAUUGAAGCUCUUCUGGGAUUUGUCACAAAUAUAUUUUUGGUUCGGGUGCCCAGAGUAGCAAAACGAGCCAAGAGCGAUGCUUCCAGAUUGUUGCUGUAAGAAGACCACAUCCCUGUCUGGUUCUCCAGGUAAUCCACGUGCACAGUAGGGAACAUUUAGAAACAGCCUGUCCCUUCCUGUGUUUUCCAAAAGUACAUCCUGAGACAAGGGUUAAUUUGCAGGGAUGUGGUCCCAGGGAGCAAGAGUGAAGGACAGGGGAGCAAACAGGGGGGAGAUGUGUUAUCGAACUGGGCACUACCAGGGGUCACCGCAUGAUUGCUCUUUGGUACUCUGAAGAAUUUUCUGGAGCAAAACUCAGAACUGUCCACCUGAGCAAUGAAGGAGGCUUCCUGACUCCACCUCCCAUGCCUCACAGGUCAGAGGGCCCCUCACAGGGCAUUAAGUCUCCACACUUCUAGGUGAUGACUGAGUGAAACAGUUCUCCCAGGUGGCCCAUAUCUCAGCAUCAGAGAGACGACCUGAAGCAGGUGUGGCGAGGGAAGUAGCUGGUGGUUCACACCUGUGGGAACCUGGUUGCAACCUGCAGGGACCUGGGUUUCUGCAGCAGUGGCUACAAGAGGUGAAGCUGACAGGAGGUGAGGUGAUGCACAAAAGGUGUCUCCCUCACAGGCAUGGGCCUAAGCAGAGUGUAGGGUGACCGAACGGUUGAUGUGCAGACCACACUUCUCCAUGGAAAGCAUUACAAAUAAGUAAUGGCUAGCUUGCUCUGUGGGCCGGCUCACAAACAAACCGCAAUCUGGAUGGAUUAACUGCAUAGGGAAAUACAACAGCAUCAAGGCUUUCACUAUGGAAGACAACAGAAAAACAAACAUAGUGAGUAAAAUAGUAUUUUUAAAGUUCAUCUUGAAUGCUAGUGCUUGAGGAAAGCAGGUGUCCUUGGAGAAAUGGAAUGAGGUAGUUAGGGUCUCGAGAUUGAAAGGCACUUCUGGAUACUUUUCAGAGCUUUAGCAACAGCACCGGAGCAUAAUUGUAUUUACCUCCAUGGCAGAUGCAGGCACGUCCCUUUCCUGGAUGCACUUGGAUUACCAACACCACUUUUAUGUCAUUCAGCCCUAAUUUUGGUUAAUAUUUUGUUCCCAGAUGGAAGGGAGAGAGGAUUAUAAAGUGGAUAGAGAUUUUCCAAUGGAGAAACUCCAACAGGGUUGCAAGGGAAUGAGGAGGAGGAGGUUAGAGAGAAUAUGGGUGGGCAUAUGAGAGGGAGAAUGUCCAUGGGGGAAUUACUAGUUCUAGAUAAUUAUUUACUGUGUACCAAACAACUCAAGGACCACAGCACGGGGGUGGGGGGGUGGUGGCAAGGAUGAGGGCUGGGGAGAGGCGUGUGGCAUAGAAGCACCCUCCUUUCAGAAGUAAGGGGGGGAAGCAAUGAGGAGCCAGCUGCAGUAACCUGUACUAGGAGGCGCUGUGGACCCAGGAAAGCUUGGCUGGUUCCUGCCAGAUGGGGCUAGCAGGACUUGGGAUGGGGGGCAGGGGCAAGUGCAGUAAUUGCUCACAUGAAUGGGAACAUGUUUCUUAGGGUGAUGGUGGAGGGCGUGUGAAUCUCAAAGGUUAAUUUGCAUUUUUAAAAAUGUUAUGCUGAUAACUCACUGCAAUGGAGGAAAGCUUUGGGUGUUCCGUCGAGUCUAGAUUCUCUCUCUGAAAUGUUCUCACAGGUAAAGAUGUAUAUAAAAUGCCCAGAGGAGGCUGUAAUAGAUUUUGAUGCAUAUUUCAUAUUUUCAAGCAUACCACUUGAUCUCACAAACAGAUUGAUGAAAAUGCAGUCUUUAUUGUACAAUAUUCAUGUUUUAUUAAAUGUGAUUACAUAGCAAGUAAGGGAGAACUGCGGUAGCAGCCAUGCUUCAGAGCUGGAGCCAUGGCUGUUUCCCAGAGGCCCAGAUGGGACCUCCCUCUUUGGGUUUAUAACCUUGGGGUCAUCCUGCCUUGGGGAAGUCACUGUCUCUUCUAACUCUCACUCUGCAGGAAAAGAACAGCACUUGCUCUUUUUGAACCAAGCAGAGUAUUAAUAACACAUUCAGAGACAGAGGCCUCAAUCUUAUCUGAGGUAGAAAGGAGUCUGGCUCCUUAUCCAGUCUGCCGCCCUUGGCUUCUCUAAGGAACCACAUAGCCCGGAAUUCGUUGUUCAGUCCACACUCGCAGCUUCCCAGCAAACCUUCCCUCCUUGGAAACCUGAGAGGGUUCGCUUCAAACACGACUUUCUGGGCCUGGAAUCAAAUUGGCCUGGCUCCCCUCUGAUCUCCCCAGUCUGUAAGCAGGGGUCCAGGCAGCUGUAGUAACUCGACCCUGCACAACCCAGCUUCUUUUCUUUUCUUGGACAAGAUUUAUAUGGCGGGUGUAGUCUUACCGCAGACAUUCCCAAGAGAGGCCCAGAACACCCGCGUCACCCCAGCCCCUCAACUCCCUGCAAGUUAACUUUAAGAUGGGUUUUUAGAUAAAGUUGGGUUGAUACUUAAGGAAAAUCGAAUUUGUGUGUGAUUGAGAAACCACUUUAUACAACUUGAUGGAUUACCUGAAACCUUCCUAUGAGAGAGGGGGUGGAAGAGAGCUGAAAGAGUCCAACCUGCAGUCCGCAGUUUAAGAUGCUUUGUCCUCCCCGAUGCUGGAGGAGUGACAGGCUUGGGCUUGGAGUCAGAAACAAACCAGACUUGAGUCCUGGUGACCCCACUUACUGGCUGUGUGACGUGGAGUAGGUGAAUUACCCUCCCUGUGCUCAGGUUCCUUUCCUGGAAAAUGAAGAUACUAAUGUCACGGGGUUGUGGUAAAAUAAUGAAUAUUAAGCACAGCCACUGGCACAGAGAAAGAUGUCAAUACAUGUUAGCUAUUAUUAUGAAGUCAUGAAUUCAUUUAAGCCACAGAGACAAUGGCUUUGCUAUUGUUGUUUGAUACAUGUCCUUUUUGACAAGUGGAUAGUGUCACAUGCUGGGAUAUGAGUAGGGGAACCAAGAAUGAAACCCCAGGCUGUUGCCAAUCCCCACCUAAUACUAGAGUCGAAAUGGGCCACGUGUUUUACUACUAUGUUGGUGGAGGAAGUGCUAAGUGGCACAGAAUAGUAAAUUACAUUGUGCGCAAAGCAUACCCCUGCAUCUGGGGGCUGGAGACAGUUUUCACAAGAUGGCCAUGAAUGCUGUGGGUACAGGCAUACGCUUUCCCAUGACGGGACAUAAGAACAUGCGCAGUCUCCAGUGAAUGCCCUUUUAUUUACCUGGCGAUGUCAGUUCCAGACAGCCCGGGCCUCGCUGCUGAUCUGAAUAGUAAUCAGAUUCUCACAUGUCUCCCUGUCUUUCCAAGAAGCCCAGACACUAAUAGCAUCCCCGGGGAGGGGCUGCCGUUUUCUGAGUGUCCGCCACAGAUGUACAGCUUGCCUUGCUCUUCCUCAUAGGCAGGAGCCAGGGAUAGAAAGGAUUUUUUCAACUUGGCUGGCAGUUUCAUUUGGAAAAACAAAACAGUAUAAGCACUUGUUUCUGUUGGACAUAGUGCAGAGAUGUUUGUAUUUUUAAGCAAUUACUCAAAAUUACUUUCUAUGGAAUUUCCAUUUUAUUUUGUUUAUUUCUAAAGUCACCCCAGAUAAUGCCUACCCUCUACUGAUCUGUAACUCGGUGCCCCAAGAAACUGUGACAACAACCCUGUACUCCACUCUAGGUCUUCUACACAAAGGGCGUUGCGUCGGAGGAAACUCCAGUGUGUACAGACACCCAGAGAAGGGACCUGAGCUGUUUUAAGAAUGGCUGUAUUUUAAUGUCCAUGAAAUUUGAUGUAGCCAUUCUUUCCUUUAGUAUAUAUUUGCUGUGUGCACAUGUGGAUGGAUUGAGGCCCUGCGUCAGGGCUUUCAUUCAAGGCAAGAGUCUGGAAGCUUCAGCCUGAAGAUCGUUUGGGCCCUUCUUGCUGCCCAGGUCCUGGCAUUCAGUAACCCCUAUUAAGCUCCACCCCCAGCAGGUUGUGCUGGGGGUGCAGUGCAGGAAAGGAGGUGAAAUGCCCAGUGAGGAGUUUGGUGGACAAGGAGGCCCUCUACUUAGCGAAGCUUGGGCCUCCCUGUGGACUUCAGGCCCACACCAUGCCUGUCUCCCAGCCCCUGGGAGAAUACAGAUAAUUACUGCAGGGACUUCUGGAGAGGCAUCCAUUCCCAUAACUAAAUUUAUUCCAUCAGAGUUUUUUCUUUGCCUAAGUCUAAUUGGUACAGUCAUUAUGUCAGAGUGAAUGUUGUUAUUUUAGUCAAAAGCAGUAAACUAGGAAAGACAUUCUAUAUUACAGUUCGCCUCUCUGUCCUGGGGUUAGGAGCCUUACGAAAGAAUCAACAAGACCUGACUGUGUACCAUGGCCAGCAUACCAGACCUUCCAGGGACCUCAAAGAACAAAGAGGAAACUGGUCUGUGGGGUUUGCCCCAAAUCAUCAUAAACGAGGUUGUGAAUCUACACAUAGGUGGACUACUUCUGCAUAGAUAGAAAAAUAUCUCUGCACCACUUUCCUUCUUUGAUUUGUUUAUUCUGUUCUGCAGAAUUCCUCAUUGUACAGACUGCUGAGCACAGUAACAGAGAGCAGUGUGUGUUUGUUGAAUGAAUGAAUGAAUGAAUGAAUGAAUGAAAUAUGCAUGUGGCUCCGUGCCAUGGUCGUGCUUCAUGAAGCAAAUUAAACCCUAGCCCCAGCUCUUAGUGAGCUUGUGUCCUGACAGCCCGUCAGGUGUUGGAUAACAUGUACCAAUGAUGGAAAAAAUACAAAAAGGAAUUCAUGUUUAUCCUUUCAACCAGCAACAUGCAUAUCAGAUUACAGAAGAAUUAAAAUGUCUGUGGGUAAAAUUACAGUGCAAAGUUUUAUGAAGUCAUCAAGGUAAAUCCUAUUUUGCAAAAUUGCCACAAGAUUGUGAAUGUUCUCAUGGCCUUAAUUCAGGAUACAUUCCUUAGACAAAGAACAUCUUGGUUUGAUUCCAUUUGUUUUGAAGCCCAUAUUCUACAGAAUUAUUUUUUCAGUGUAGUAUAAAAAUGUAAGAAUGGUAACUGGAAAAAUUAGAUCAUUUUUCCAGAUGUAUAGAUUUUCAAUUGGCAGUUGUAUGGAGGACUGAAACAUGGUUAAAUGUAACCAAUAUUCAUUUAAUGUAAUUUUCAUCUAAUGUUUGGGCCUUUAUGCUUCGGGUAUCAGCUCCCUAUUUUCUUGUUUUUAUUUAAAAUCUGUCACUUAAGACUCAAAUCUCUUGUUUAAGCAUCUGACUCUUGAUUUUGGCUCAGGUUGUGGUCUCAUGGUUUAUGAGUUUCAGCUCCACAUUGGGCUCUGUCAGUGCAGAGCCUGCUUGGGAUUCUAUCUCCCUCUCUCUCCACCCCCUCCCCUACUUGCUCUCUGUCUCUCAAAAAUAAAAAACAAACUAAAAAAAAAAAAGAGACUCAAAUUUCUCCUACAAUGCUGCCCUCAAUGUAUAG